rfam:Schistosoma rodhaini strain Burundi genome assembly, scaffold: SROB_scaffold0019809
ACACUGUUUAGGAGUCCAACAAUAGGACGAAACAGCCGUCCAGUGU